rnacentral:rRNA from 1 species
AUGGGUAGCCCCGCCGCGGGCGACCAUCACUACCUUUUCGUAUGCACCCACGGCGAUUGUCAGAUUCGAGCUGUUGUUUCCCAUGAGUUCGCUGAGGAUCAUCGCCGUCACCACGAACGCGAAGAUGAUCACUGUCGUUCCGAGCUGGCCCACGCCAAGCGGGAGCUUGAGGUCCGCCGCAGGGACGCCCAACGCCACCGAGGGCGACGCAAGGGCAGCUCUCUUGUGACAUCUUCCGGCGAAACAGGGUGUGAUGAACAUGUCGGAGAUACUACUCAGCCACCAUCAGCACAGGCAGUACAAGAGCUAGUUGAUUCAUUCUCAAAUCAGCUACCUGGGAGGAUUGAUGACAAAGGAAAAUCACCCACGGGUAUUUUCGUGGAGGCAAAGGACCUGGUUUCUUACACACGUGACUGGGAAAACUCUUGGGGUGGCGAGUUCGGCCCCUUCGAAUACUACACGUGCGUCAGAGCCAUGCUCUUCACAUGCAGACCCACCCCAUCUCAUGCAGGCGUCAAGACUUGCCUGCAGAUCUUCUCCAUCAGAGUCACAGAGAUCAAUGAUGCUCUUGAGUGGCCACUCGAGGUCUAUGGCUUGGUGGCCACCCGAGACUCAGUGGAUCAUAAUCGCAACGUUAUCUUCAGACGCGGGAGGGACGCCUGCCUACACUCACUCAACAGGAUCCAUUAUUGA